CUAAUUGUUAGCUGCAUUACGGUAGCAUUCAGUUGCGCCAGUCCAGGCCCAGGACCCAAUGUGCUGUACAGCAUCUAUGUAUUAGGUGCAUUACGGUAGCGCUGGGUGCGGUACAUCGCCCUUGCUAGGUAUUAGGUGCAUUACGGUAGUGCUGGGUGCGGUACAUCACCCUUGCUAGGUAUUAGGUGCAUUACGGUAGCGCUGGGUGCGGUACAUCACCCUUGCUAGGUAUUAGGUGCAUUACGGUAGCGCUGGGUGCAGUACAUCACCCUUGCUAGGUAUUAGGUGCAUUACGGUAGCGCUCAGUGCGGUACAUCACCCUUGCUAGGUAUUAGGUGCAUUACGGUAGCGCUGGGUGCGGUUCAUCACCCUUGCUAGGUAUUAGGUGCAUUACGGUAGCGCUGGGUGCGGUGCAUCGGCCUUGCUAGGUAUUAGGUGCAUUACGGUAGUGCUGGGUGCGGUACAUCGCCGUUGCUAGGUAUUAGGUGCAUUACGGUAACGCUGGGUGCGGUACAUCACCGUUGCUAGGUAUUAGGUGCAUUACGGUAGCGCUGGGUGCGGUACAUCGCCCUUGCUAGGUAUUAGGUGCAUUACGGUAGCGCUGGGUGCGGUACAUCGCCGUUGCUAGGUAUUUGGUGCAUUACGGUAGUGCUGGGUGCGGUACAUCACCCUUGCUAGGUAUUAGGUGCAUUACGGUAGUGCUGGGUGCGGUACAUCGCCGUUGCUAGGUAUUGGGUGCAUUACGGUAGUGCUGGGUGCUGUACAUCGCCCUUGCUAGGUAUCAGGUGCAUUACGGUAGCACUGGGUGCGGUACAUCGCCGUUGCUAGGUAUUAGGUGCAUUACGGUAGCGCUGGGUGCGGUUCAUCACCCUUGCUAGGUAUUAGGUGCAUUACGGUAGCGCUGGGUGCGGUUCAUCACCCUUGCUAGGUAUUAGGUGCAUUACGGUAGCGCUGGGUGCGGUACAUCGCCUUGCUAGGUAUUAGGUACAUUACGGUAGCGCUGGGUGCGGUGCAUCGCCGUUGCUUGGUAUUAGGUGCAUUACAGUAGCGCUGGGUGCGGUUCAUCACCCUUGCUAGGUAUUAGGUGCAUUACGGUAGCGCUGGGUGCGGUGCAUCGGCCUUGCUAGGUAUUAGGUGCAUUACGGUAGCGCUGGGUGCGGUACAUCGCCGUUGCUAGGUAUUAGGUGCAUUACGGUAGCGCUGGGUGCGGUACAUCACCCUUGCUAGGUAUUAGGUGCAUUACGGUAGCGCUGGGUGCGGUACAUCGCCGUUGCUAGGUAUUAGGUGCAUUACGGUAGCGCUGGGUGCGGUACAUCACCCUUGCUAGGUAUUAGGUGCAUUACGGUAGUUCUGGGUGCGGUACAUCGCCCUUGCUAGGUAUUAGGUGCAUUACGGUAGCGCUGGGUGCGGUACAUCGCCCUUGCUAGGUAUUAGAUGCAUUACGGUAGCGCUGGGUGCGGUACAUCGCCCUUGCUAGGUAUUAGGUGCAUUACGGUAGUGUUGGGUGCGGUACAUCGCCCUUGCUAGGUAUUAGGUGCAUUACGGUAGUGUUGGGUGCGGUACAUCGCCCUUGCUAGGUAUUAGGUGCAUUACGGUAGCGCUGGGUGCGGUUCAUCACCCUUGCUAGGUAUUAGGUGCAUUACGGUAGCGCUGGGUGCGGUGCAUCGGCCUUGCUAGGUAUUAGGUGCAUUACGGUAGUGCUGGGUGCGGUACAUCGCCGUUGCUAGGUAUUAGGUGCAUUACGGUAACGCUGGGUGCGGUACAUCACCGUUGCUAGGUAUUAGGUGCAUUACGGUAGCGCUGGGUGUGGUACAUCGCCCUUGCUAGGUAUUAGGUGCAUUACGGUAGUGCUGGGUGCGGUACAUCGCCGUUGCUAGGUAUUUGGUGCAUUACGGUAGUGCUGGGUGCGGUACAUCACCGUUGCUAGGUAUUAGGUGCAUUACGGUAGUGCUGGGUGCGGUACAUCGCCGUUGCUAGGUAUUAGGUGCAUUACGGUAACGCUGGGUGCGGUACAUCACCGUUGCUAGGUAUUAGGUGCAUUACGGUAGCGCUGGGUGUGGUACAUCGCCCUUGCUAGGUAUUAGGUGCAUUACGGUAGCGCUGGGUGCGGUACAUCGCCGUUGCUAGGUAUUUGGUGCAUUACGGUAGUGCUGGGUGCGGUACAUCACCCUUGCUAGGUAUCAGGUGCAUUACGGUAGUGCUGGGUGCGGUACAUCGCCGUUGCUAGGUAUUGGGUGCAUUACGGUAGUGCUGGGUGCUGUACAUCGCCCUUGCUAGGUAUCAGGUGCAUUACGGUAGCACUGGGUGCGGUACAUCGCCGUUGCUAGGUAUUAGGUGCAUUACGGUAGCGCUGGGUGCGGUUCAUCACCCUUGCUAGGUAUUAGGUGCAUUACGGUAGCGCUGGGUGCGGUUCAUCACCCUUGCUAGGUAUUAGGUGCAUUACGGUAGUGCUCGGUGCGGUGCAUCGGCCUUGCUAGGUAUUAGGUGCAUUACGGUAGCGCUGGGUGCGGUACAUCGCCUUGCUAGGUAUUAGGUGCAUUACGGUAGUGCUGGGUGCGGUGCAUCGCCGUUGCUUGGUAUUAGGUGCAUUACAGUAGCGCUGGGUGCGGUGCAUCGCCCUUGCUAGGUAUUAGGUGCAUUACGGUAGCGCUCGGUGCGGUACAUCACCCUUGCUAGGUAUUAGGUGCAUUACGGUAGCGCUGGGUGCGGUACAUCGCCGUUGCUAGGUAUUAGGUGCAUUACGGUAGUGCUGGGUGCGGUACAUCGCCGUUGCUAGGUAUUAGGUGUAUUACGGUAGUGCUGGGUGCGGUACAUCGCCGUUGCUAGGUAUUUGGUGCAUUACGGUAGUGCUGGGUGCUGUACAUCGCCCUUGCUAGGUAUUAGGUGCAUUACGGUAGCACUGGGUGCGGUACAUCGCCGUUGCUAGGUAUUAGGUGCAUUACGGUAGCGCUGGGUGCGGUUCAUCACCCUUCCUAGGUAUUAGGUGCAUUACGGUAGCGCUGGGUGCGGUUCAUCGCCCUUGCUAGGUAUUAGGUGCAUUACGGUAGUGCUCGGUGCGGUGCAUCGGCCUUGCUAGGUAUUAGGUGCAUUACGGUAGCGCUGGGUGCGGUACAUCGCCUUGCUAGGUAUUAGGUGCAUUACGGUAGUGCUGGGUGCGGUGCAUCGCCGUUGCUUGGUAUUAGGUGCAUUACAGUAGCGCUGGGUGCGGUACAUCGCCCUUGCUAGGUAUUAGGUGCAUUACGGUAGCGCUCGGUGCGGUACAUCACCCUUGCUAGGUAUUAGGUGCAUUACGGUAGCGCUGGGUGCGGUACAUCGCCGUUGCUAGGUAUUAGGUGCAUUACGGUAACGCUGGGUGCGGUACAUCACCGUUGCUAGGUAUUAGGUGCAUUACGGUAGCGCUGGGUGUGGUACAUCGCCCUUGCUAGGUAUUAGGUGCAUUACGGUAGUGCUGGGUGCGGUACAUCGCCGUUGCUAGGUAUUUGGUGCAUUACGGUAGUGCUGGGUGCGGUACAUCACCCUUGCUAGGUAUUAGGUGCAUUACGGUAGUGCUGGGUGCGGUACAUCGCCGUUGCUAGGUAUUUGGUGCAUUACGGUAGUGCUGGGUGCUGUACAUCGCCCUUGCUAGGUAUUAGGUGCAUUACGGUAGCACUGGGUGCGGUACAUCGCCGUUGCUAGGUAUUAGGUGCAUUACGGUAGCGCUGGGUGCGGUACAUCGCCGUUGCUAGGUAUUAGGUGCAUUACGGUAGCGCUGGGUGCGGUGCAUCGCCCUUGCUAGGUAUUAGGUGCAUUACGGUAGCGCUGGGUGCGGUACAUCGCCGUUGCUAGGUAUUAGGUGCAUUACGGUAGCGCUGGGUGCGGUACAUCGCCGUUGCUAGGUAUUUGGUGCAUUACGGUAGCGCUGGGUGCGGUGCAUCGCCCUUGCUAGGUAUUUGGUGCAUUACGGUAGCGCUGGGUGCGGUGCAUCGCCCUUGCUAGGUAUUAGGUGCAUUACGGUAGCGCUGGGUGCGGUGCAUCGCCCUUGCUAGGUAUUAGGUGCAUUACGGUAGCGCUGGGUGCGGUGCAUCGGCCUUGCUAGGUAUUAGGUGCAUUACGGUAGCGCUGGGUGCGGUGCAUCGCCCUUGCUAGGUAUUAGGUGCAUUACGGUAGUGCUGGGUGCGGUACAUCGCCGUUGCUAGGUAUUGGGUGCAUUACGGUAGCGCUGGGGUGCGGUACAUCGCCCUUGCUAGGUAUUGGGUGCAUUACGGUAGUGCUGGGUGCGGUACAUCGCCGUUGCUAGGUGUUUGGUGCAUUACGGUAGUGCUGGGUGCGGUACAUCGCCGUUGCUAGGUAUUUGGUGCAUUACGGUAGCGCUGGGUGCGGUACAUCACCCUUGCUAGGUAUUAGGUGCAUUACGGUAGCGCUGGGUGCGUUACAUCGCCCUUGCUAGGUAUUAGGUGCAUUACGGUAGCGCUGGGUGCGGUGCAUCGCCCUUGCUAGGUAUUAGGUGCAUUACGGUAGUGCUGGGUGCGGUACAUCACCGUUGCUAGGUAUUAGGUGCAUUACGGUAGUGCUGGGUGCGGUACAUCGCCCUUGCUAGGUAUUAGGUGCAUUACGGUAGCGCUGGGUGCGGUGCAUCGCCCUUGCUAGGUAUUGGGUGCAUUACGGUAGCGCUGGGUGCGGUGCAUCGCCGUUGCUAGGUAUUAGGUGCAUUACGGUAGUGCUGGGUGUGGUACAUCGCCGUUGCUAGGUAUUAGGUGCAUUACGGUAGCGCUGGGUGCGGUACAUCGCCGUUGCUAGGUAUUAGGUGCAUUACGGUAGUGCUGGGUGCGGUACAUCGCCGUUGCUAGGUAUUAGGUGCAUUACGGUAGCGCUGGGUGCGGUACAUCACCCUUGCUAGGUAUUAGGUGCAUUACGGUAGCGCUCGGUGCGGUGCAUCGCCCUUGCUAGGUAUUAGGUGCAUUACGGUAGCGCUGGGUGCGGUACG